rnacentral:lncRNA from 1 species
UCAUGCUAAACCUAUAGUCUAUGGCAUAAUCUAUACCCUCACCCAACAGAAUACUGAAGUCAACCCGGACGUGAUACAAAUAAGCGAUUCUUGUGGUAUGAGAUUCUCCGAACGUGUUCGUUGAUGAAAUAUCAAGAUUGUCGAUGGAUAGAGAAGUUGAAUUUACUGUAGAUCUUUAACCCGACACCCCAGUCAAGUCUCAAUCACCAUUUACCGCAUGAGCCGUGUUGAGAUGGAAGAACUGAGUAAACAUAUCAAUAAAUUGCAGGAUAGUGGGUUCAUCUGACAUAAUGUGUCUCAUU